AAGUCGUAACAAGGUUUCCGUAGGUGAACCUGCGGAAGUGUUAUGUGUUCAGAGAAUUCGAGUAGUAUCUGAGUUAUUAAACUGCCGUUUAUUGGAUAUUCGGUUUAAUUUUCACAAGGAAGGCUUAGACUCGCCGUUUGAUCAUUUUGCAGGACGCGAACCUGAUUGGUUCUUGAGCGACGCGUUCUGAUUGGCCGAAACUGAUCUAACGACUUUAGUCGUUACAGGAAGGAUCAUUAAAAGAAUCUGCCUCACCCACAGAUAUCUUAUCACGUGUGAACUGUCUAGCUUGUCGCCCGAGAUGGACACCUCAGAGAUCUCGGUCUUUGGGGGGUCUGUCUUGGGGGUCAGCUUAUGCUACUGAUUGUGCCCCGAGAAUCUUUAAAAGACUAUAAAACUUUUAGCAAUGGAUCUCUAGGCUCCU
rnacentral:misc_RNA from 1 species